rnacentral:rRNA from 1 species
AUACGGAGGGGGCUAGCGUUAUUCGGAAUUACUGGGCGUAAAGAGUUCGUAGGCGGACUGGAAAGUUAGAGGUGAAAGCCCAGGGCUCAACCCUGGAACGGCCUUUAAAACUUCCAGUCUAGAGACAGAUAGAGGUAAGGGGAAUACUUAGUGUAGAGGUGAAAUUCGUAGAUAUUAAGUGGAACACCAGUGGCGAAGGCGCCUUACUGGAUCUGUACUGACGCUGAGGAACGAAAGCGUGGGGAGCGAACGGGAUUAGAUACCCCAGUAGUCC